GUGAGAUUAUACUGGGCCGUUGUUGUUGUUGUUGUUGCAGCCUGUGGUAUAGGUGACUUCUGUUUCUCUAAGGAGCCCAUUCCUGAUCCUUCUGCAACUGGUAGGAACUGGUUAUACACAAGAGUAGAGUUGACUUAGACAAUACAAUCAGGCAACUUCUUGUCAAAUUUUCCGCCACUAGCUGUUGCAUUUGCUGCCAUUCCAGCGACAUUGCCGAGUUCAUCCUUGCUAAUUUUCCUUGG